AUACAGAGGGUGCGAGCGUUAAUCGGAGUUACUGGGCGUAAAGGGCGCGUAGGCGGAUGAUUAAGUCAGUUGUGAAAUCCCAGGGCUUAACCUUGGAACUGCAAUUGAUACUGACUGACUCGAGUCGAAGAGAGGGAAGCGGAAUUUCCGGUGUAGCGGUGAAAUGCGUAGAUAUCGGAAGGAACACCCGUGGCGAAGGCGGCUUCCUGGCUUCAGACUGACGCUGAGGUGCGAAAGCGUGGGGAGCGAACAGGAUUAGAAACCCCAGUAGUCC
rnacentral:rRNA from 1 species